UACGGGGGGGGCAAGCGUUGUUCGGAAUUACUGGGCGUAAAGGGCUCGUAGGUGGCCAACUAAGUCAUACGUGAAAUCCCUCGGCUUAACCGGGGAACUGCGUCUGAUACUGGAUGGCUUGAGUUUGGGAGAGGGAUGCGGAAUUCCAGGUGUAGCGGUGAAAUGCGUAGAUAUCUGGAGGAACACCGGUGGCGAAGGCGGCAUCCUGGACCAAUACUGACACUGAGGAGCGAAAGCCAGGGGAGCAAACGGG
rnacentral:rRNA from 1 species